AAAUUGAAGAGUUUGAUCAUGGCUCAGAUUGAACGCUGGCGGCAGGCCUAACACAUGCAAGUCGAACGGUAGCACAGAGAGCUUGCUCUCGGGUGACGAGUGGCGGACGGGUGAGUAAUGUCUGGGAAACUGCCUGAUGGAGGGGGAUAACUACUGGAAACGGUGGCUAAUACCGCAUAACGUCGCAAGACCAAAGAGGGGGACCUUCGGGCCUCUUGCCAUCAGAUGUGCCC
rnacentral:rRNA from 2 species